rnacentral:rRNA from 1 species
CUGGUACUGAGACACGGACCAGACUCCUACGGGAGGCAGCAGUGAGGAAUAUUGGUCAAUGGAGGCAACUCUGAACCAGCCAUGCCGCGUGAAGGAUGACGGCCCUAUGGGUUGUAAACUUCUUUUAUAGAGGAAGAAACUUGUCUACGUGUAGACAAUUGACGGU